UUUUUGUGUGGAGAGUUUGAUCCUGGCUCAGGAUAAACGCUGGCGGCGUGCUUUACCAAUGCGAGUCGCACGGGCUCAUCUUUCGGGAUGAGUGAGUGGCGUACGGGUGCGUAACACGUGGGUGACCUGCCUCUGCGCGGGGGAUACCCACCCGAAAGGGUGGCUAAUACCGCAUGACGUGCUCUUCUGUGGGGGAGUACCAAAGCCUGCUUCGUAAGGAGUGGGCACGUGGAGAGGGGCCUGCGGCCUAUCAGCUGGUCGGUGGGGUAACGGCCUACCGAGGCGACGACGGGUAGCCGGUCUGAGAGGACGAACGGCCACAGUGGAACUGAGAAUGGUCCACAGCCCUACGGGGUUUAGCAUGGAGGAAUCUUGCGCAACGAUCGAGAGAUCGGCGCAGCAACGCCGCGUGGGGGACGAAGGCUCUCGGGUCGUAAACCCCUGUUGCUCGGGAAGAAGUACCGUAGGGGAGAUCCUUACGGGAAGACGGUACCGGGCGAGGAAGCACCGGCUAACUACGUGCCAGCAGCCGCGGUAAUACGUAGGGUGCAAGCGUUAUCCGGAUUUAUUGGGCGUAAAGGGCGCGCAGGCGGCCGGCAGCAGUGGCGCGUGGAAUCUCCUCGCUCAACGGGGAGGGGUCGCGCCAAACGGGCUGGCUUGAGGCGAGCAGGGGACCACAGAACGGGCGGAGUAGGGGUGAAAUCCGUAGAGACCGUCCGGAAUACCAAUAGCGAAGGCAGUGGUCUGGGCUUGUCCUGACGCUCGGGCGCGAAAGCGU
rnacentral:rRNA from 1 species